rnacentral:rRNA from 1 species
GUGUCAGCAGCCGCGGUAAUACGUAGGGGGCGAGCGUUGUCCGGAAUUAUUGGGCGUAAAGGGCGCGCAGGCGGUCUUUUAAGUCUGAUGUGAAAUCCCGCGGCUUAACCGCGGGCGGUCAUUGGAAACUGGAGGACUUGAGUGCAGAAGAGGAGAGUGGAAUUCCACGUGUAGCGGUGAAAUGCGUAGAGAUGUGGAGGAACACCAGUGGCGAAGGCGACUCUCUGGUCUGACAUUGACGCUGAGGUGCGAAAGCGUGGGUAGCAAACAGGAUUAGAAACCCCGGUAGUCC